AUUUCUUUCAUUUUUGGUUUGUUUGGUUUAUUUUUUGGCUAGUAGAAGUUAUAAAUGGCUGGUAACUUAAAAAUGUUGUAGCCAAAUUGGCUGGUGAGUGAAAAAGUUAAUUUCAAUCCCUGAUUACAAUGUAAAUUAUGUGAAAA